GCCGGAUGCGGUGGCGCGCGCCUGUAGUCCCAGCUACUCGGGAGGCUGAGGAUCGAGAAUCGCAGAUCGCUUGAGCCCAGGAGUUCUGGGCUGUAGUGUGCUAUGCCAAUCGGGUGUCCGCCCUAAGUUCGGCAUCAAUAUGGUGACCUCCGGGGGGGGGGCGAGGGGGGGCCACCAGGUUGCCUAAGGAGGGGUGAACCGUCGUCCCAGGUCGGAGACAGAGCAGGUCAAAGCUCCCCUGCUGAUCAGUAGUGGGAUCGCGCCUGUGAAUAGCCACUGCACUCCAGCCUGGGCAACAUAGCGAGACCCCGUCUCUA
rnacentral:SRP_RNA from 1 species